rnacentral:sRNA from 1 species
AUGAUGCAUUUUGUUGUAAAUCAUCAUCAUCAGCGCAGUGUAAAAAGUGUUGUUUACGCACUGCUUCUCUCUUUUUCCCUUUCUUCCAAUAAUUCUAACAACGCCGCCGUCGUCCUAUCAACGGCCACCAUGACCACACAGCCUCAGCCUCCCGUGGCAAAGAAGGUGCCUCACCAGAUGGAAUUGUUCGGCGACGUGAGGGUCGACAACUACUAUUGGCUCCGCGACGAUUCUCGCUCCAAUCCUGAGAUGCUCUCUUACCUCCAACAAGAGAACGCCUUUACCGAUUCCCUCAUGUCCGAUUCCAAAAAGUUUGAAGAUAAGCUGUAUGCGGAGAUCAGAGGGAGGAUCAAAGAGGACGAUGUGUCUGCCCCUGUGCGCAGAGGAGCUUACUAUUACUACCAGAGGACUCUUGAGGGCAAGGAGUAUGUUCAACACUGUAGGCGCCCUGUUCCCAAUCCCAACGCCCCACCUUCUGUGCACGACACCAUGCCCACGGAAGAAGAAGAGCAUAUUAUCUCAGAGGCGGACCUACACUCCCCACCGCCCCCUCCCAAACAAACACACACACAAAUUAAAAAAAAAAAAAAAUAUAUAUAUAUAUAUAUAAAUUAAGAUUUGCUCUUAUAUAUAUAUAUAUAUAUAUUUGUCUCUCAUUUUCUAAAAUAUUUAGAUAUUGACCUACAAGAAAAUAUAAAAAAUAAAAUUUAUGCCCCUUCAACUACAAAAACAAAAUAAAUAAAUAAAUAAAUAAAUAUGAACUAAACAAAAAUCGCACACAAAAUAAAAAAAUACUUAUUUUGUAUGUUAUACUUUGUUAAUGUGUUUUAUAAUAUAAAAUGUUUAAAAAAUACUUAUUUUGUAUGUAGUAUUUUGUUGAAUAUGAAAUAGAUGUUAGUUUUUAUUUUCAUAACUUUUUUUUUGGUUUUAAGCUUUAGCCCCCCUCAAGUAUGAAUCCUGGUUCUGUCCCUGUACAUGGUCAAGCUUCUACUUGUCCUAAUGGAAGUUUGCAUGAUGCCUAUUUCUAUUCUUUUUCUGUUUAUCAAAAAAUUCUUUUUCUAGGCUUUAUGUGUUCUAAUCUUGGUAAAUUUAAGAUAAAUUACUUUGAAAUUUAUAUUCAAGCUCCGACUAGCAGUAAAGGAGGUUUUAUUCUAACUCGGUCAUUUGGGAAGUUGAUAAUUGCUUUGUAUUUGAAACCUUGAUAUUAGUUCUUGCAACAUAAAAUUGCUAUUAGUGCUUUACUUCUUGGUCAGUUUACAACUUCUUGACCAAGUUCAAUAUAUGCCCCGGAGAACUUGAAAAAAAGGAUUACAUAUCAAAUUUAUCAAAAAAAAAAAAAAAAGAUUACCUAUCAAAUAUCAAGAGUCUUCCAAGAAAUGCUUGGCCUGUUUUACAAUCAAUUGAUGCAAGAAAGAAGUAGACAAGAAAAUAAUUUAAUUCAAAAUAAACAAAAUUUUAUUAAAAUGUACACUUCAAUAUAUAUAUAUAUAUAUAUAAAAGCAGAGACCUCACACGGGAGUGCAUGAGGUCUUAUCAUGUGGCAUUCUAAUUUUGCAUUUAGUCUCUUUUUUUUCUUUUUCUUUUACCUCUUUUCAUUAAAAGUAGAGACCUUACACGAGAGUGCAUAAGGUCUUACCAUGUGGCGUUCUAAUUUUGCAUUUAGUUUUUUUUUUUUUUUAUCUCUUUUCAUUAAGAGUGUGUUUGGAUACCAUUUAUUUUACUGAAACUAAAAAUUGUUGUUGAAAGUACUGUAGGUAAAGGUAAAAUUUAGUUAAAAUAGUACAGUGGAGCCAUAAAUAAUGCCAAAAAGUGUAGUGGGGUCCAUGAAUAGUAGCUGUAAGGACUCAAUUCAAUUUGAACUGAGGGUUGGGUUUCAGCCCAAUAAGCCCAAACAAUAAAUUUAUAGAGUAUGGGUCCAAGAACUAGUAUUACUUUCAGGAAAGGUUAUACUCUUCAAGGAAUAAGGGAUAUUAUUGAUUCUCUCUUUAAGGAAAACUCUCCUCGGCUCUCUUUCAAUUGAUCUGUCUUUCUCUCUCCCUUUUUCUCUUUUUUCCUUUCUGGGCCAGAAGUCCUCCUGUUUUCUUCGCUUCUACAUUAUAUACUUCGCUUCUUUCCUCAUUUCCUUCGUACACGUGUAGUCCUUAUCCUGGGGGCUCCUUUCUGUCCCAUCCAGUCCCUACCGGAACUUUCAGCUUAGUGUUUAUAAAGCUGCUUAGUUACUAUUCAGGUAUCACCUCCACAUUGAUGCGGCCAGAGUGUUAGGUGGACAGCAUUUAAUGAGGAGGUGAUAGACUUUAGAAGAUAUUUUCUACCUUCUCCGAUGCCUCGUUAAGCUAUAUCCACAAGGUCAUAAUAACAUCAUUACAUGAUAGUUACAAUAAAUAAUUUUCCACCAUCAUAAUUCCUAAUUCUCACAUAAUAAGGAGAGAAAAAGUCUUGCAUGCUUCAAGUCUCCAACCUCAGUUGCAAUUUCUAAUACAAAUCGUGCAAUUUUUGCUAUGAAUUUUGACUUGGUCAUUUAUAACACUUUCUUUUGCUCUUCAUUGCUAAGAUCCAAUGCUUUCGCUACCAACCAAGAGCACUUAAAAUCUUCAAUGUAUGAUCCUAUCUAAAAGCAUAAAGAACAAAAGUAAAGACACACUUAUUAGAUAUUUGCUAAACCAAUAGCAAAGACUCUUUGUGCUAUCACUUUCAACAGUUCACAGGUAAAUGUUCUUUCAUUUUUGUGCUAUUCUAGAUACUAAAUCAUAGCUUUUGACAAUAAUCAAGGUGUUAAAAAACUAUCCAAAAAGCAGUUACAAGCAUCAGUAUCAACAAAAUUGUUUCAAACCAAAUGGAGAGCAAAAUCCAAAUGUGGCACAAAAAUCAGUCCAAGAAAAUCCCAUAUUCUUUAAUAAACUAAGCAAAAUGAUGUCAUCAUGUAAAUAAUUAUUCAGCUUGAAUAUACAACCAAAAGCAUCUUCCCAAAUCAUUUUUUUUACAACAAAUGAAAGAAAUUAUCAAAUUAAACAUAAACUAACUACUAAAAAUGGUAUUACAUCAACAAAAUUAUCUUUAUUUGACAAUAAGCAACUGUAAAGAACAAAACAUAAUAACUAGACAAAGAAGAAAUGAAAAAGCAGAAUCCCACCUCAAUUAAAGCAAACCAAACCCAAAUAGCAAAAUUUAGAAUCUUAAUCCCACAAGAAUCUAGAGACUUAGUAAUAUAAACAAUAAAAAGAAUAAUCAGAAACACACAAUAAGAUAGAGGCAAAAAAUUAGAGUUAGAACCGAGUCUUUAGGAGGGGUCCACAAAACCAAAACAACCUGUUAAAUUGUCAGCACUUCUCAUUCAAUCAAUGCACAUUAGGCCAUGCCAAAAAGCCCCAAUUUUCAAACCCAAGCAAAAUUAUCAAGCUUUAGAAUAAACAAGAAAACUCAGCCAUCAAACUAACAAAAUUUAAACAAAAUGAGGCCCAAAUUCGGUCAUCUCUAAAAAGCAUAUAAAAAGAGAAACAAAAAAAAAAAUAUAUAUAUAUAUAUAUAAGAGAAAAAACAAUAGAGAGAAAGAAAGGGGUCCAACGAUGAUAGCACCACCAACACGGUGGUGUGGGUGCAAUGAGAAGCUCUGUCACGAGUGGGCUUUAGAGAACAAGAAAACAGAGAGAGAAAGUGCUAGACAGUGAGAUGUGAGAAUCUUAAGAGAGGAGAGGGUCACUUCGGAAAGAACCACCGGUGGUGGUGACGUGGGACUCGGUGGCUAGCAGCAGUGAUGGAGAUUCGGCCAUGGGUGUGCCAGAGAAAGAUCAAAGGUAAGACCGUAAAAGAGAGAGAGAGUGUUUCUUUCUGAAAUUUGGACAGACUAAAGACAAAAGAAUAGAGAAGGGAAACGCAAAAGUGAAUCACGCAGAUUGCCAGGUGUCUUAUAUGAGGUGUCAAAUUUAUAAUCCUUAGAUUAAAUCGACGGUCUAGAUUAAUAGAAUUGCACACUAUGCAUUAUUUGGCUUCUGUGAAUGCUCUUAGUGUUGCUGUUGAGUUUAUUGGAUUAUUUGGCGAGGAAGUUGCUAUCCAUGACCACUGAAAAUGGACACCCUUUGAGGCUAGAGAAAUAUUGCUAAAUAUGUAAACAAAUUAUUUAAUUUUUAUAAAAUAAUGUCCUAAAAUAUGGAUUUGCCUCAUGUUGUACAGUUCGUACUGAUUUCUAGAAGGUCUUGCCCUGCCUUAAGAGGUGUGAGAGUUCUAAAGUGUGACUUGUGAAUGUUACCAUGUCCGUCAUGUGAAUGACUCUCUUGGGAGUUGUCUGGUGUAGAUACGUCUAGUUGUCCUACACAUGGAUCCGCGAAUACACCACUAAAACUAAGGCUAGGGUGAAGAAUGGAAGUUCUCACUUUCUUUAGGUCCAAGAAAUGCUCUUGGCCCUUACUUAUAGGUUCAACUUAACUAGACCUGAGUAUGGAGUUAGGGUAUAAGUUUGCCAAUUUGUUAGGCACCUAGACUUGCUUGACUAAAUGGAUCAACCUCCUCUAAUAUUUCUAGGCCAUUUUCAAUCAAAGGUUCUCAUCUGUCAUGAACAACUAGUUUGUAACCCCAUGCACAUACAUGGAUACACAUAAAGAUAUACAAAAAGAUGGAUAGUACAAUUCCUAUAUAUAGAAUUUAAAUACUAUUAAUAGUCAUUCUUAUAUUUUGUUAACUCUUUAAAAAGUCUUGUAAAAAUCUUAUAUUUUGUUAUCUCUUUAAAAACUAUUGUAAGAAUAUUAUAAAGUAUAAAAUGUAAACUAUUCAUGUUUAUUUAUUUAUUACUUCUUAAUUUUUGUUAUUGUGAAACAAUUUUUUUAUUUUACAAUUCAUUUAUUCUAGACUCUUUAGUUUUUGUUCUCAAUAACUCAUUUGGAUGAAUAUUUAUGAUGUGGUCCCACAUUUAAUUCUAAAAUUAGGACAUAAAACUCUCUCUAAAAAUAAAUAAUAUAGGACAUAUGACACAAAAUUGUACUCUAAUUUGAAAUUCUAACUAAACUUUCUCUAAGGUUUAUCUUUUAAUAUAUACUAGUGUGUACUCCAAAAUUUUAGAAGAUGUUUAAAUUAUACAUGGUAUUAUUUUACACUUUUUUUAAAUCAUACAUUUCUAAAAUAUGGGAUGGUUUCUCAUUUUAUAUAUGGAAAAUGUUGUAAAAAUGUUGUGGAUAUAGCAUUUCUCAACCUCUGUGUGUGUGUGUGAGAUUUAAAAUUUAAUUGAUUUUAUACUCUUUGGUUUUUGCACUUAAUAAUUCACUUGCCAAAAAAAAAAAAUAGAUGGAUUAGAUUUGAACUCAAUAAUUCACAUGGCACAAAAUUAAAAAUUAAAUAGGACAUGUGACACAAAAUUGAGAAUCCAAUUAGAAUCUAAUUGGAUUUUCUCUCAGUUUUGUCUAUUAAUAUAUAUAUAUAUAUAUAUAUAUAUGUGCAUACCUAAAAAUGUAAUGCUAAUGGGCUUGACCUCUACAUGGGCUCACAAUCUAUUUGUUUCGUGGGCUUUGGUGUUUCCUACUGUGGGUGGUCCUAUGCUUGGCAGGCCCAAAUACAAUUCUAUUUCCACAAGCCUUUCUCUUUCCCUCAUAGGAUCGCUCAUUUGCUCCCUCUAAGUGUUUGCUCUCUUCUCCUAGUACUCUUUUCAGAAUUGCCAACCCCCUUUCCUCAUCCUCAUCUCUUAUUUAUAGCUCAAGAUUAGUGGAAGAGUUAUGAUUACUUUUGUGGUGAGUGGAAAAGGAGGUCCAAUGUUAUUAUCAUUAAGUGGGUGUUUAGUUGGAAGUGGGAGGUGGUAAGAGUGGCAUUGGAAUUGGUUCCCACAUUAGAAGAUUUGCCCGGUAGUGAUAUUCUCCAGGCAAUACCAAGCAUCUUGGGACUCACCUUCUUGGGAAAUUGCAUUCCCCGACCUGAUAGGGUCUCACCUUCACCGUUCAUGUCAUAAUGGCUUUAUUAUGAUUUCUGGGCCUUGGAUGGAUGUCAAGGCUUACCUGAGCCAAGUUCGUAGGCCUAAUAGUACACAUAAUCAUGUACAAUGUCCCAAGGCCUGAGGCCCAACAAGUCCAAGGCCUUGUACACAUGGGAUCAUUGCGAUGGGUUUUAUGAACAAUGGGCUUGAAGGGAAGUAGCACCCCGUACAAUAUAUAUAUAUAUAUAUAGAGAGAGAGAGAGAGAGAAGAGAGAGAGAGAGAGAGAGAGAGAGAGAGAGAGAGAGAGAGAGAGAGAGAGAGAGAGAGCGAGUAGAAUUUAAACUAAAAAGAAUUCAAGAAAAUAGGGUACAAAGAUUAUACACAGUGGGUGCUUAACCUAAAGUAGGUUUUAAAUUGUUAUGAUUGCAAAGAGGCAUACACAUGACCUAUUGUUCCAUAAACAUACAUUGAACAUACAUACGCAGUUGUGAGGCAUGUGUACGCAUCCUGACAAAAUGAAACUCUGAUUCUACAUCUUCUUCAUUCAAAGUGGUCAAACAAAAUCCUAACCUAAUUCUGCAAACAAAACAAGCAUAAACUUUAAAACAAGACAGAUUUUGGAAUUUAAAAAGAAAAGGGGCUUAACUUUUUUGAAGGAUAUUUGAAUUUUGACCAAUCCACUCAGGAUAUUGGAUCCAAGCCAAAACACCAAGGGUUAGUAAACCGUAGCUUUAUAAGAAUGGAACUGCAGGAGAGUUUUUGAAAAGAGAGAAUGCUUUUAGCGAAUCCUUUUUGACAUAAUUAAUAAGUCAGUCAAUUUUGUGUUAAUUUGCUUAACCUAAAAUCAACCCAAAAUGGCUCCAUUCAUAUAAAUAAAUGUCAUUUUUAUUUAAUAUAAAUUUGAAUUUUCUCUAUAGAACGGUGUAAUUAAAAGAAUUUUAAAUUCAUUUUGGUUUAUUUUUUGAAUGGUUUGGAAUGGGUCAUUUAAAUGUUAACCCAAUACAAGUUUAUAAAACAUUUGAAAUGAGUAGUGUUUGUGUAUAUUAAGCAAGCUAUGUGGGUCAUGUUGUGUCACUCGCUUAAUAAAUGGGUUUUGUUAGAGUAGAAGGGUUUUGAAAUGAUUAUUAAAUGAGUUAGGUUAGGAUUGGCCCAUGUAGCUGGAUACCAAUGUCUCGAACACAAUUUGUCAUCACUGCUUGCUUGAACAAAAUUGUUAAUUAUAGUUUAUAUAUAAAUAUAUAGAUUCUCCUUCAUUUUUUUUUAAUUUAAUAAUUUAAUAGUUGGGGGGGAGUGGAUUUGAAUCUGGACACAUUGUUUAGAACUACUUUAGAAGCUUAUUGAGCUACAACUUAAAAGGCUUGUUCACAUUUUACAUUACAAUGAAUUUCAUAUUUAUAAUGGAUACAAAAGUCCAUGACAUUUGAAUAAAAAUUACAUAUUGAUUGCUUCAAUUCCAUGAUCUUCUUUAGCAAUCAAUCCUUUGAUUUAUUAACCAAUCCCAUAAUUUUCUCUUGAAACCAAUGUCUUGACUCGGUCCUCAAUGGUAGAAAAAAUGAAUUAUACUUUCUAAACUAAUAUAUCCUAAUUAUACAUCUCAUACAUAUCUUGGCUAUUUCAGGUAAAUACAAUACAAAGAUAGAAACUCACACAUAGUCAAGUUUAUGUGGCAAAAUACAACCAUCUCCUCUUGGUGAGCAUAGUUCUUAGGUUCCAAUCCUAUCAAUGGAGAGAGAAAAAAAAAAAAAAAAAAAAACUGAAAUUUCUUGAUGGUUCUUGGCUAUUCAUUCACAAAUAUCUUAGCUCAGUUGUUGAUUUUAUUUUUUUUAAGCCUUAUCCUCAUAACAGAACACAAAACAUCAGUAGGGAGUUGGCCAUGACUGGAUUGUCUUGUCAUCCAUAUCUUAGGCUAGUUUUUUGCAUUACUCAAAAUAGGAUGUGACUAUCCACAAAGCUGACUCAAUGCGUUAUCACAAUAUCUACAACGAUGAAUGUUUUUGGCAACGAAACAACCAAAGCAUUAGGAAUUUGGUUACAAGGCUAAAAUGAAGAUAAUGAUUGACCAUUCAAUACUCUUACAGAAACAAGUUAUUUUAAGGUAAAGAUUGUUUGAAUAAAUUAGCUCUAGGAUAAUGAAAAUUUGCAGUUGAGGAGUCCAAGCCUGGUCUAAUUUCAGUUGAGGACUUAUUAUUUACCUAUAAAUCUGACCGCAGCCUUUCAAACGUAUUUGUCUUUGCUUUGUUUGCCUUCUUCUGAGUUUUUAAGUGGGAACAAGAUGAUUGCCGUUGAGAACCAGGCACCUGGUACUGCUUUGAUUAUUGUUUCCAUCAUCCUUUUGUCCAUGAAUGUCAAUAAUUUUUAUUUUAUUAUAAGUCUAUAAGCUUAGUUCAACUGGAGUCUAAUUUUUGUGUUAUUUUGUUUGAAAAUGUAAGUGUCAGAGAAUGCAAUACCAAAAGAUGCAUCAGGUGGAUUUGUUGUGCCAGAAUCCAAUGCCUUUGGCCAAUCAUUCAGGUUUUGACAUUUUCUUCCACAAUCUUUGUUUAUAAGAUCGGGUGUUUUUCAUAAAUGGUGUAGUUUCUCAUUCAAUGAAUUGUGUCGAAAUGUGUGGUAGGGAUUAUGAAUCAAGUGUGAGGCUAAGCAUUGUGGAGAAUUGCUAUCGGUUGAAUCAUAUUAACCAAACAUAUGAUUUUGUAAGUACACUUUCAAUAAGUUAAUGUUUAAAUAUUAAACUACUGUGUCUAUUUGGAAACAACUUAUUUAGCUAAAACUGAAAACUUUUUACUGAAAGUAUUAUAGAUAAAAGUAAAAGUUAGCGGAAUAGUACAUUAAGAUCCAUAAAUAGUACCAAAAAGUAUAGUGAGACCCAUAAAUAGUAGCAAAAAUAAGCUGGAAUUGUAAAUAAGCUGAAAUUUUCAACUUGUCCCAAAUGCACACUUAGGACUUCAUAGAUUCAACUUGAUUUAUGAAACUAUCAAUGCAAAUGCAGGUAAAGAAAACAAGGGAAGAGUAUGCAAAAUUGAACAAAGCAGAGAUGUCCAUAUGGGAAGCCAUUGAACUCCUUGACAGUUUUGUGGAUGAAAGUGACCCUGACAUUGAUGAACCUCAGAUUCAGCAUUUGCUGCAGUCGGCUGAAGCCAUAAGAAAAGAUUAUCCUAAUGAAGACUGGCUACACUUGACUGCCCUUAUUCAUGGUAAAUACCCCAUGCACAUUCCUAGUUUCUGUUCUAAGGCUAACAUGCAAAAUAUAAGUUCUUUGAAUGUGUAAUUGUAUAUGUUUAUUUAACUUGAUGGCUCUAUGCUCUUAUUCAUAACAUCAGAUAAUCACUACACACACUAGGCCUUAUAUAUUCAAGUUUACAUAAAACAAUAUAUUAAACAACUUGAUAAUUGAUUCUUGCAUGGAUUUCAGAUCUUGGAAAGGUUCUUUUCCAUUCUAAAUUUGGAUCGCUUCCCCAGUGGGCUGUUACAGGUAAGAAAUGUUCUUUGACCAAAUAAAUGUUAAUAUAUUUCUCUUGUUUCAUGUCAUUUCAAUCUGAUGAUGAAUUCUGAUGUUGCAGGAGAUACGUAUCCUGUUGGUUGUGCUUAUGACGAAUCGAUUGUUUAUCACAAGGUCUUCUUAAAAACAUUAGUUAAUUAUGUUUGACAUGAUUAUAUGUAGUCAGUCAAUUGAAAGAAAUUUCUUCGAAUCUUUUGCAUUGCAGUAUUUCAAGGAAAAUCCAGAUUACAACAAUCCUGCCUACAACACUAAACUUGGAAUCUACUCUGAAGGAUGUGGACUGGAUAAUGUGCUGAUGACAUGGGGGCAUGACGAUUACAUGUACAUGGUAUAUCCUCUGAACCUUCAAUGAAUUUUUAAUGAAAAAUCUUUAAUAAAAUCUUCAUAUUGAAAUUUCCACAAUAUGUUAUUCCAAAAUAACAAUCAUAAUACUAAGAACGUUGUUUCCAAAUCCUUAGGUGGCCAAAGCAAAUGGAACUACUCUACCAUCUGCUGCAUUAUUUACUAUCCGAUAUCACUCAUUUUACCGUAAGUAUUAUUCUUUAACUUUUCCUGUAAAUUUGAAAAAUAGUUAAUAUUCUCGAAUUGUUUUUAUACAAUAAAAUGAGUUUUAUCUGUCCAUCUCGCAGCAAUGCAUACGGCAGGAGCAUAUCAAUACCUAAUGAAUGAGGAGGACAGAAAGAAUCUGAAGUGGCUUCAAACAUUCAAGUAAGUUUCCAUUUAGCUGUUUAAUUUGUACAUUUUUUUCUUUCUUACUCGUGUUCUUCCCCAACAACUAUUCAUUUCUCAUUGAGCUGAUUGUGAGCAUCAUUGUUUUUCCCCACCAAUUAUUCAAUUUUUGUUCAGCUAAUUGUGACAACUAAACUGAUUUUAUUGUAUUGUACAAAAUAACAGCAAAUAUGAUCUCUACAGUAAGAGCAGCGUUCAUAUUGACGUUGAAAAAGUUAAACCAUACUAUGAGUCCCUCAUAAAAAAGGUGUGUACCAGUGCAAAAUUCUGUGCUUUGGUAAUUUUAAAAACUUUUUUUCUUUACUAAAAUUGGAUUUUUUUUUUUCCUUUCUUUUUGCAGUACUUCCCCGAAAAGCUCAGAUGGUAA